GAUCAAGUAGGAGAUCCAUUGUAAAUUGUUCAAAAUCUUUACAUUUCUCAGUUUCCUCAUCUAUACUAUAAGGGACUCUGUUGAAGUCAUUUCUGUAUUCUAUUCCUGCCCUGCUGUACACUGUCCAUGAUUCUUGAUGGUUAGGCAUACACCAACUACUUGUGGAAUAAAUAUAAAACUCCUGGAGACUUGUCCUGACCUAAUGGAUGCAGUGGGACCCAGGGCCAGUGAAGUGUCACCACAAUGAGUCAGAAUAUUGGAGAAGAAAUGACUGUGACUACUAAUUGAAUUUUACAUGUGCAUAAAAAGUGUGUCUUCUUUUUGCUCAAAAUUUGUUGGAGACAUUAAAACACACGAGUCCUCUUCCCAUCUAAGCAUCACAUAAGGAUUUUGUUAAAUGUACUCUUGUGAGUCUCCUAUUUCUCCUUUAUUUGGGAAACCUCAGGACUCCUUACUCCCUUCCUUUGUACCUGGAACCUAGUGUGCCAAUAAUCUGAUAUUAUCUGCCACAUUGUGGAUGAGGCAACCAAAGGCAGCCCAGGGUGUGAAUCUUCUCUCCACAACUCUGCUACAAAGAGAUGCAAACAUGGGCACAGUGAAGUAUAAAUGUAAAAUCAGGGUGGAAGUCAAGGGACUUACAGCAGAGGAGAGUCUGGUGGCAAUGGACCUGGGUCAGGCAUAGUGAGACUGCAAGCACCAGGGGGAGGUCCAGCAGAGGGUCUGCCCUCACUGCCCUAAAUGUUCAGACAGGAA
rnacentral:lncRNA from 1 species